CGUGCGCGCCUCACUGUGUCGCUGAAUAUGUGCAGGACCGAGGGCCGGGAGGGGGAGGCUCAUCCUCUCCAGUAGAAAACAAAGGGCAAAGCCCAAGCAGCAGGCGUUUUAGAAGCCCUCCAGGUGGUUCCCAUCUGCAACCACGUUUGAAAACCAUCGCACCUGGCCAGGGUGCCGUCCCUGGUCGCGUCUAGAAGCUGGAGAAGUACGAAACAGGCGCUGAGCAGUGGAGGAGGAGACGAGAAACCCGGCUGGAGGCGGACGGGGAGACAAAGCCGGUGCCGCAGAGUGUCGGUGCAGGAAGACCUUUGGGACGAGAGUAAAGCAUCGUGCGGGAAUCUGCGCGCCGAACCAGUGCUGGG